UCGACCCUUUUUUGGUUCUAUAUUUAAGUAAUUUUUAAAAAAAUAUUGAAUUAAAAAAAUUAUUUAGAAAUAACUUUCAUAUUCUACUGGAUUUCUUAUUUGCUGGUUUUUUUGGGGGGAUUGAUUCUACCCUUUAGUAUUCUGAAUGAAUUUUAGUGAGCUACUGUGGUCCAAAAUAUAUAUUGUAUGUACACCAUACAUAGUCUGAAUUCUUGUUUAACAAAGUACAGUCCAUAUUUGUAAGGGGUACUUGGAAAGGUAUAUUAGGUGUCUUACCUUACAUGUGUAGAUCUUCAUAAGUAAUAGUUGGCAAGGUCUACUAUAAACUUGUUACAUAUUUCUAUAUUCGUUAUUAUAUUAGAGACCUUUUUAGUCUUUGAUGUUAUUUUUCCCAUUAAUUUGAUGUCCUGACCUGGUCAUGCUUUCAGUUUUUCAUGAGAUCAUGCUAACGAAAUUUCUUAAAAGUUUUGCAAAUACCAUCUGAUAACGUACUUUGAUUUUUUGAAAAAAAGCCAUCUCUUACCCAGUAAAUAUCAACUAAUUGCUGGUUUUCUUUUGUAAUUUCUUCUCAAUAUAUUUUAUAUUAAGGUUUGGAGAUACCAGUCCUUUUAAGCAUAAUCCUCAUGCUAUCUGGUAAAAAUUAUUAACAACUAAAAAUUACUUAAUGUAUAUUACAAAGAAGAUAGUACCAUCUAUGAAAUAUUUUUGAUAAAUCUUAUUCCACUCUGUCUUACGUAUGUUUAAAUGAGCACCAGAAGAAUUAUGCAUUACAUUUCAUUUGAUUGGUUAAUCUUUGAGCUCUUGGUUUUUAACAUUUGUUUCUUGCUGUUUUCUCUUUGAGGAAAUGAGUUAUUUGCCAUAUAAAACUUCUACAUUUCUACAUUGUACCCAUGGUAGGAUGCCACCCCUGUGGUCAUGUUUAAUAGUUUUUUCUCAGUGUUUCAGUGUUUAAUAUUUUCUAUCAUUUUUUUCAAAAAAUAUUAAACAUUGAGAUGAAAGGGCAGGUUAUCAGAGUAUCCCAUUAUAGUGAUUAUAGUGCUCAGAUUCUAGCUCCAUACCUAUUAGAACACAUUCCCAAUUGUCAGCUUAAACUAUAUUUUAUAUAUGUGUUGUUUGUCUGCUUUGUAUUAAAGGCAAAAGCGCAUUAUCAAUUAGUUGUAUGUUUUAAAGAGUUGACUGCAACAUCCAUCAUAAGACCUAUCUAAAGAGGAAUACAUGAUGUCUUAGUACAAAGGAGUAGAGAUACAAUGAAUGUAAUUAUUUUCAUGUUUCUUAAGAGGGAAUGCAUAGCAAUUGACGGUAAAAAUACAUACAAAUCAAGUAAAGAAACCAGUAUAUUUUUAGUCAUUAUGUCACUUUGAACAACAAUUUGUUUAAUCAUUUUGCAAUAACUGGUUGCUUGGAACUGCCUUAUUUUUUGUAUUCAAUAUAUUUAUGGGAGUGUAUACAUAUUCCAGGGUCUUCUAGUUCCUCAGGGAAUAUCUGGAUGGUAUAGAAGAAUUUUGUUCUUUAUUAUGAGUCAAUUUAUAAUUUCAUCUUUUUUAAAAAGGCAUUUUUCCUACAGCUAGACAUUUUGAUUGUCACUUUUGUUGUGAGAAAAAAAUUAUGAAGACGUUGUAAAGAUUGGGAAUGAGGAAGGUGACUUGAUCGGGUAUCACAGACUUACAAAAUCUUGUAUGUAAUUAGAGUUAUGUUAACUGCACAUUUAUAAGCAAAGUAAUGUCAUGGAAUAGAAGACUUGUAAGUUGACAUGAGAAACAGAAAGUGUAUUAAAGUUAUCUGCAAUCAUGGGGGCAGAUUGUUAGCCAAAUGGAUAAGGAAUUAGAUUCAUCUCUCAUGGUAUGUAGCAUGAAGAAUUUAAAAUGAAUCAGAGGUUUAAAUUAACUGCAGAAAUUAUAGAGUUUCAGAAAACAAAUGAAUUUCUCUCCAAUUUUGAGGAAAUUACUGAUGAUACACAUUGUAGAAGCAACAAGAAACACAAAGAUUGAUAGUAAAAAUGAAAUUACAAAGUUGAAAAAGUUAGUUGUGACAUCACAUAAAAAGAGUGAAACCCUUGGUAUGUGUAAGAUAUAAUCGGGGAAAAAUACCAGUUGAAAGGAAAAGUGACUUGAGCACAUAGUUCACUGAAAAAAAUACACAAAGUGCUCUUAGUCAUAUAAAAGGAUUCUUGGAUUUGCUCAUAAUGACAAUUGAAAAUACAACUAAGAUAUAAUUAGUUUCUCUACUAUUAGACUAGCAAAAGUCCAGAAGUUUGACAACAUUUUUUUUGGCAACAUGUUGGGAAUUAUGGGAAAUCAUACGUUGCUUCUGGGCAUGUAAAAUGUAAACCAUAUCGGUAGGAAUUUUUUGGUAAAUUUAUAUCUGUGGCAAAUACAUAGUUCAUCUCCUAGUAAUAUGUAGCAGUAAGAAGGAUUGAUGGAUGUUUGUAUACUACUAUGUGAUAAUGUCUUGGAUAUAAUGUAGAAAUAGGGGAGAAGUAGGCUACAGGAAGUAAAAAUGGCAAUAUGGUGCUUAGGGUGCAUUCAUCACCAUAACAGAUAACCAUGUUUAUGGUGUCCUGCGCGGUAACUGAAAUUGUACCGGGCUUUCAACAGAAUUUUGUCAAAAUGGGACGCUGCAUGAGCUAACGAAUUGUGAAAUAAAUAGAUUUUUAUUGUGGAAUAAUAAGUAACACAAAGAAGGGGGUUUUGCAGUAUCUUGGAAGAACAGACAUUCUUGAUAAAGUUCCUUUAGUAUGAAGAUAGCAUUUUUAAAUACUUGGAGUAGUGAGUGAAGAAGCUUUCUCUAUGAGAGCAGGGUCAGUUCCCAAAUAAAUCCCAGCCUCCUCUCGUCUGUUAAUUUCUUCGGAAGGAUUUGAGGUAGCUUUUGAAGUAUUUGGUCAAAGUUGCAAACUCCUCGGGAGGAAGCCAGGCGUAGUACCUCACGCCUGUAAUCCCAGCACUUUGGGAGGCUGAGGCAGGAGGAUCACGUGAGGUCAGGAG